AGCGGAGUGGCCUAGUGGAUAAAGCAUGGACCUUAGAGUCAGAAGAACCUGGGUUCUAAUCCCAGCUCCUCCA
rnacentral:tRNA from 1 species